rnacentral:lncRNA from 10 species
ACGAGCCUGGCGCCUCCUAUUCCACGCGGAAGUGCCCGAGUGACCCUGUGAAGGACCUCCCUCCCCUCACACACGCACAUACACAAGCCCAUGUGGGAGCCCGAGUGACGUGUGCUCGGUGGUCAUGCACCAUCAUUUCCCUUCCACCUUCCUCCUCGCCGCUUCCUCUCCCUCCACCGCGCAGCUCCAGCCGCCUUGCCGCCGCCGCAUCCCCUUCCAAGUUCAGGCUGUGGGUGGAACCUGUUGCUUUAGCUCACGUUUCCCUUCCCCUCCGGGCUGCACGCUGAGGAUGACCUCAGCGAGGUUUGGCUUCCUUGAGACAGAGGAUCUUGCUCGCCUCAAAGAGGAGGGCAGUUUGCCCCCUUCCUCCUGACUCCAAGACAAAAGAGAGAAGACUGAAGAGUGGUAAAGCUUGUGGGAUCCAGGGCCUCUCAGAGUUCACCUGAGCUUUCCCAAGUCUGGUUUGUUCUCUCUACCCUGCUGCUACUACUGCAAGUGACUUUCACAAGAUGCUUCUGAGCAUAGCAUUGCUCUGCUGUGACCACUGCAGAUGUCAAGAGAAUUUCUGCCUUUUGGAACUUGGACAAUAUUGGCCACCUACCCAGAGAGAGGAGAAGGAUAAUCCAGACAUAAAGGUAGCUCCCACACAUCCUUUGGAUCUCUGAUAAAGAGUCAUAUACUUAAAGAGCCAUCCUCACAUUCCUGCCCAGACUGUGAGCUGCAUGAGAGAGGCCAUGUCUCAUUUUGUUCCAUUACAUCUCCAGCACUUAAGAGUGCUGGACACAUAACGAGUGUCUGACACAUAACGAGUGCUGAAUAAAUGUUUGUUAACUGAUAAAAUG